AGCUGGAACUACAGGCGCCCGCCAUGAUGCCCGGCUCAUUUUCUGUGUUUUCAGUAGAGACGGGGUUUCACUGUGUUAGCCAGGAAAGUCUUGAUCUCCUGACCUCGUGAUCCUGACCUCGGCCUCCCAAAGUGCUGGGAUUACAGGCGCGAGCCACCGCGCCCGACAGCAGUUAUGAAGUUCUAAAAGCAAGUCUUAAUCAGGAAGUGUCCUUGAUCACCAACGGCUCGCCCAGGCAUGCUGGCUCUCUUCCACUUCCACCUUCCACCAUGGGAUGACGCAGUAAGAAGGCCAUCAGUAGAUGCCAGUCCCUCAACCUUGAACUUUCCAGACGCAGAACUUUUAAACAUUUCAUUCCAUCAUCGUGUUCCUGGUUUCUAUGAGAACUCCACUGUCAUUCUUAUUCUUGUUCCUCUAAAUGUGAGGUAUUUUUUUCUCCUUGGGCUUCUUUCAAAAUUUUUCUCAUUGACUCUGGUUCGCUUAUGACAUGCCUAGGUGUAGUCCAUUUUGAGUAUUAUGUAAUGAGACACCAGAUCUUAUUUCAACCUUCUGUUUUGGCUGGAUUUCCUCUGAAACUGCUCUGGCAGCAAAGGAGGAAGGGUUACUCCCAGCUAGGGUUAUAAUUCCAGGUCCCUCACCUGGCCGCUGGGGAAGAGGCUCCGCAUUACUGCGUGACAGAGAUGCAAGUUCUGAAUCACCUCUAGGCCUCCACUGAGACGCUCCAUCUGGGAUGACUGGAAUUUU
rnacentral:lncRNA from 10 species